UUCUUUAACUAUUCCAUUGUCCCAUGGGUGCGGCCUGCACAGAUUAGCUGAUGGGGGGCUUGGGGCCCACGUCUCCCCUGAACCCCUUUGCGGCCCGACUGGAGGGGACUUGAUAUGGGGGAGCUACUGGACCGAGCGAGCUGGACCCCCGGGAACUGUGGCGCUUGGCAAAGGCGAUGGCCCCAUUCGGAGAGACGUGGCAGGGGCAACAGAACCCAGGAGCCCUGACUCUAACCACUAGCCCAUGCUCUCCCUCUGUCACAGCCCUCUAGGCGUACAGGUUCCCGUUCCGCCGCCACCACCUCCUCCUCCGCCGCCGCCGCCGCCUCCUCCGCUUGGAUUGGCUAUGAUCUGCCCUCC